rnacentral:rRNA from 1 species
CCCUUAGAUGUCCUGGGCCGCACGCGCGUUACACUGAUGCAUUCAACGAGCUUAUAACCUUGGCCGAGAGGCCUGGGCAAUCUUGUUAACGUGCAUCGUGAUAGGGAUAGAUAAUUGAAAUUAUUAAUCUUGAACGAGGAAUUCCUAGUAAACGCAGAUCAUCAAUCUGCAUUGAUUACGUCCCUGCCCUUUGUACACACCGCCCGUCGCACCUACCGAUUGGAUGGUCCGGUGAAGCCUCGGGAUUGUGGUUCUUGCCGCUUUAUUGUGGCGUGACCGCGAGAACUUGUCUAAACCUUAUCAUCUAGAGGAAGGUGAAGUCGUAACA